UUUUUUGCUUAUAAUUUUAUAAACAAAACAAUUAUUGGAUCAAGUUUAUAAAUUAAUUAAAAAUUUAUAUAACUCAUUUUUUUUUUUAACACGCAACAUGUAUAUAAAUAUAUACAUAUAUAUACACAUAUUCAAAAAAAACGUAGAUUGAAUAAAGCAAAAAUAAAGGAAGAUAUAAACGAAUAAAGUAAACAAAAGAUAGAACAAACUAAAAAAAAAAAAAAAAAUAAAAUAAAAUAAAAUAAAAUAAUUACUAUAUUGAAUAUAGUAAGUUUUUAAUUUGUUUGUAAGAAACGUUUAGAUAAACGACCGAAUGGACCAAAGAGUGUAUGAUCGUUCAAACAAAGAAAUUAAUAUCGAAAUGGAACAUGUAGAAAAUAAAAAGAAUAAAAAUUAUGUUUAUUUAGAUAGUAAUUAUGAUAGUAUUUAUUCAUCUGAAGCGAAUAAAAACAAUGGAGAAUUAUUAAAUAAAAAUUGUACUGUAUCAUCAAAUUAUAAUAACAGUAAUAAUACUGAUAAUAACAAAAACAUAAUAAAUAACAGUUAUGGUAAUACUAAUAUUGUAAGUAGUAAUGGUAAUAAUAUGGCUAAUAGUCAAACUAGUUUUGAGAGUAAUACUAUUAUUCAAAAUAACAUAAAUGAUUAUUCACAUAUAAAUAAUUACAAAUAUGGAAAAAAAGGUAAAAAAACGGAUAAUAAAAAAUCAGAUAAUAAAAAAUCUGACAAUAAAAAAUCUGAAAGAGCUAAAUUAUUAAAUAAUGAUAAUAAUAUUAAUAAUUAUAAUUUUUACAAUAUGAAUAAUAAUAAUACAUCUUAUAGUGAUGGACUUAUAAAUAAUGAAGAAGCUCAUUAUAGUUUUGAAAAUAAUUACAAUAAUGAAAUUGAUUUAGAAAAAAAUAGUAUGUUAAAUAAAUCUGACAGUGAUAUAAUUUUUAGUAAUAGGAGAAGCAGGAGAAGAUAUAAAUUAUAUAUAGUUUUAAAAAUAUUAUUAGCUGUAGUAAUAAUUAUUGCACUUAUAUAUGCAUUUUUUAAUUUUAAUAAUAUAUUUACAAUGUUAAAUCUUCUUAUUGAAUGGGUAAAAGAACAAAAAUCAUGGAGUAUUGUUUUAUAUUUAUUAAUUUUCACUUGUACUAUUCCUUUGUUUAUGUCAGUUGAAAUUAUGUGCGUAGCAGCAGGAUUAAUAUUUUCAGGCGUAUAUGGUAAAGCACUCGGUAUUGUUGUAGCUGUAUGUUCAGUUUUUUUGGGAUAUGUUAUAGUCAGUUAUAUAUUAGGAGUAACAUCUGUAAAAUAUAAACACUUUGCCCUUGGAUCGAUCACAGCUCUGCCUAGCAUAAGUUUAUUUGUAUAUAUUGGAGUUUUAAUUCAAAACAUAUCAAACAUAAACGACCUAGAAAAAAACAAGUUCAACUUUAUUAUACUGUUAGUUGGUUUAAUCAUAGGUAUUAUUGCACUUGUAUAUAUAUCAGUAAUUACAAGAAGAAGACUAUAUGUUAUGAAUGUAAUGAAUAUGUCCUUAUCGAUGGAAGAAGGAGAUGCCGAAUAAAUUGUCAACACCAUAUAUGUUAUAACAGAAAUAAAUUAAAAACAUAUAUACCUGUAUAAUUGUAA
rnacentral:lncRNA from 1 species